UUUUCAAAGCCCAGCACUGGCUACUAUGUAUUUGACCCACUGUUUCAGCCCACAAUUUCAGAUGUUGUGCAAACUCUAAUAGAAUAUAACACCACCAAAAGAAUAGUGUUCACUUGCUGAACCUUGCCUCUUGCUGAUAGCAAAAAAAAAUUUAGGCUGAGACUUCAGCUUCAAAAGACAAAACAUGUGGGUUGCUUCUUAGCAGGAGUGAAUCAUACACAUUUCAAUGGAAAAAUGGGAAGUCAGAGGUCAUAAUUGCUGUGGAAUACAUCUUAAGGAAGAAUCAAUAUCAAAAUGAUCAUUAAAGGUACCAUGGAGUUCACAGGGGCCAGAGCAAUAACACUUCAGGAUGCUGAAAAAGAGGCAACAAUUUUUUUCUCUGUAGUCCCUAGAGUUGAACAGACACAUUUCAAACCUCAUCCAAGUUUAGGACUUUUUGAAAACGUUGGCAUUGCAAGUAAGAGAAUGUGCUUGGAUAAAAAUGUUGCCAUUAAGAAUGGGAGAAGGUGCUUGGAAUCUUAGUCUUGUGCAUUGAAGAAGGAUAAGAAAGAGGAAGAAGUAGAACCAUAAGCUUUCCCACGGACACCCUUCCCUGCUGCUUCCGUCAAAAUCUUGGAGUGUGGGAGUCAGGAGUCACUUCUUGGCAGCUUCUCCCUGGGCUGCCAAAUCUGCCUCUUUCUGAUCAGCCGGAAAUGUGGCUUGCUCCUUCUGGAAAGCUGCCAGUAUUAAUGAAAUCGUGUUUGACUUUUAUGGCUUUGUUCCUUUACUUGAGACUCAAGACAAAUUUGAGGUAGUGAUCUCCUCUCUUUUUUCCCCUACACAUUUCCCAUGCUACACCCAUGCCUGUAUAAUCCAGUUUAGUUUGAAGAGAGAGCAUAUACCUUUAUAACAAAAUAGCAUAUGCAUUGUUUUUCCAACAAAAAGGAAAAUAAAGGACACAGGCAAAUGAUGUAUACAUGUUUAUUUUCUUGUUAAAU